rnacentral:pre_miRNA from 1 species
UUUUAAAAAUUUUAUCACUUUAUAUUGUUAAAAACUGACAUAUCUAAUAGAAUAAUAAAGACAAUAACAUAUGAUAUGCCACUUGUACCUGAUGUAAAGGGACAAGUUUUUAAUAGUAAAAAUGAAUUGAAGUUUUAAUA